GUGUAAGAGCCACUGCACCUACCAUCUGUAAAUCGCUACUAGAGAGUGAACGAUCAACGAUCAUUGUGGUCUUCUCUUUUAAUUCAUUAGCUAUGAAAACUGUAAAUAAGCAGGCAGAAGACAGUUAUUCUUAUUAAAGGCCUUUCAUUACUGGCAGGUUGUGGCGACAGGGUCCAUGGGACACUGACAAGAGCUGGGCUUCACAUAGUGUCAAAGCCUCUCUCAAGAUCUGCAUCAGAAGCUUUGUAAAUAACCACGAUACAAAGAGAAUUCUUUUCACUGAAGGGACAAGAGAGCAAGCCAACUAAUCCACGAGACCAUGUUUAUUAUCUACUGUAUUGAGGCUACCACAGUAAACAAGACUGAUAAUGGUCCUCAAGUAUCAGAGCUCUAACGCGGCAUUCAAGCCUCUCAAACUGCUGACCACAUCACCUGUCAACGGUUCUGCGAAUCUGAGAUGAAAUUUAUGACAAUAAGAGUUGAGGAAUCCUUUGUAGGUGAUGUAAGAUUGCCUUCAUAGAGGUGAGCUAUAUAACCAACAUUUAAUAAAUUUAAGACAGAUAUAAA